rnacentral:rRNA from 1 species
UACGUAGGUGGCAAGCGUUGUCCGGAUUUAUUGGGCGUAAAGCGAGCGCAGGCGGUUCCUUAAGUCUGAUGUGAAAGCCCACGGCUCAACCGUGGAAGGUCAUUGGAAACUGGGGAACUUGAGUGCAGAAGAGGAGAGUGGAAUUCCAUGUGUAGCGGUGAAAUGCGUAGAUAUCGGGAGGAACACCAGUGGCGAAGGCGGCUUUCUGGUCUAACCCUGACGCUGAGGAGCGAAAGCUAGGGGAGCAAACGGGAUUAGAUACCCGGGUAGUCCCU